AGUGAACGCUGGCGGUAGGCCUAACACAUGCAAGUCGAACGGCAGCACAGGAGAGCUUGCUCUCUGGGUGGCGAGUGGCGGACGGGUGAGGAAUACAUCGGAAUCUACUUUUUCGUGGGGGAUAACGUAGGGAAACUUACGCUAAUACCGCAUACGACCUACGGGUGAAAGCAGGGGACCUUCGGGCCUUGCGCGAUGGAAUGAGCCGAUGUCGGAUUAGCUAGUUGGCGGGGUAGAGGCCCACCAAGGCGACGAUCCGUAGCUGGCCUGAGAGGAUGAUCAGCCACACUGGAACUGAGACACGGUCCAGACUCCUACGGGAGGCAGCAGUGGGGAAUAUUGGACAAUGGGCGCAAGCCUGAUCCAGCCAUACCGCGUGGGUGAAGAAGGCCUUCGGGUUGUAAAGCCCUUUUGUUGGGAAAGAAAUCCAGCUGGCUAAUACCCGGUUGGGAUGACGGUACCCAAAGAAUAAGCACCGGCUAACUUCGUGCCAGCCGCCGCCGUAA
rnacentral:rRNA from 1 species